rnacentral:rRNA from 1 species
UACGUAGGGGGCUAGCGUUGUCCGGAUUUAUUGGGCGUAAAGAGCGUGUAGGCGGCCAGAUAGGUCUGCUGUGAAAACUCGAGGCUCAACCUCGAGCUGUCGGCGGAAACCAUUUGGCUAGAGUCCGGAAGAGGAGAGUGGAAUUCCUGGUGUAGCGGUGAAAUGCGCAGAUAUCAGGAAGAACACCCGUGGCGAAGGCGGCUCUCUGGUACGUGACUGACGCUGAGACACGAAAGCAUGGGGAGCAAACAGG